AAACGGUAUAAAAGAACAAUUCUGAAGCAGUAUUCUUUACAUACUAUUCUAAUUGCUUUGAACAAAGGUAAGAAAUCAUUUAAGUAUAUAUAUAUACUAUAAAAAUAUUCAUAGAUAUACAAAACAAUAAUUAUGUAAUGUUGACAAACAUAAACAUUAAAUAAUUCAUUGAAUAAUUAGAAAAAAAGGGAUAAAUGAAAUUACAAAUACUAUAUGUUAAAAAUGAUCCAAUACUAAUUUUCCGUAUAGUAAAACAUGUAAUGUCAGUGAAGCAAAGCAAACAAAGAAGUUGUAAGAAAGAAAUAUUGUUUAACAAUUUAAUUAAGAAUAGAUUAUCAAAAAGUCUGCUUACUUUGCACAACAAUUGAAAAUCAAGAGACACAUCAACAUUCUUAUUCCAGUAACAUAUAAUACUAAUUCUGUUUUUUUUUCAGAAUUUCUAAAGAUGAUGAGAUUUCAGACCUUUUUCUUUUUGAUGGCAUUGACCACAAUGACAGUAGCCCGUAAGUAAGACAAUAACAAUCAAAACCAAGGAGUAAACAAAGACUCACAAAAACCAAAGGACAUUUCCAUUAACAGUUAUAAAUAAUAAUUAAGAAACAACACGAACUCCACUAAAAACCGGAUGUAAAAUCAGGUGCUCCGGAAGGGUAAGCAUUUCCUGCACCGUAUACGGCACCCGUCGUGUAAUUUCUUUGUUCAGUCCGGUAAUGAUGGAAGGUUAUUAUGACUGAGAAAUAUUCAGAUAUGAUUUCUGACACACUUUUGUCAUAAUGGACAAUCAGCUCAUGAUGGCGACCGUAAAAUUUCUUGAGUGAUGACCUAAAUUUGAUUGAUUCAUAGCCCUGUCUUAGCAACUUUUGAGAAAGCAGUAUUCGUCGUUCAACAAAAUCAGCGUACUUUGAGCUAGCUCUAGAAUAACGUAUCAAUUGAGGCACAUAUACUCCAUAUGCUGGUGCCGCUGGGAUGUUGCUAUACAGAAAUGGAAAGUUGACUAUAGAAAAAUUAAAAUCAUCGCGUUUGUCAUAAAUUUUGGUAUUCAACCUACAAUCAGUAGUCAUUUCGAGAAAAAGGUCUAAAUAUUAAGCAGAUUUAUCUAUGUCGGUAGUAUCUUUGAUUUCAAGUUCAGUUAAAUAUAUUAAAUGUAAGUGAUCACUGAAUCUAUUAUUAUUAGUACAGUAUAAAAUUAGCUUUCUGCUAGUUUACAGACUGUUUUAACAGACGUAUUUUUGGUGUUAAUUUACAAAAAUUUAAAUGCCUUACUAUCAAAAAUCUUUUAAAAGAUAUAAUUUCAGUACUUACAUCAGAUAUUUACUAACAUCUGCAUAUUUUUUUUUUAUAUCAUAACAAUAGUUUCACAAAAGGUUUUUUGUUUGAAUUGAUUCACAUUUGUCAUGUGGAGUCAAUUAUUGCUAACUAUACGGUAUGGCCUUGAACGUUAUAUAAAAUGUCAGAUAUAUUUAUUUUACAGUCUAUUCACCAACGAAAAAACAUGCAUUGGAUAGACAUGGAAUAGAAAAGGUUUUGUUGGUCGAAAACACGGUAGGAAGACAUUUGAAUGGUCGUCGAGGUGGCGAAUCUCUUUCUCUACUGGAUGUUAUUGAUGCAAAUAGACGAGCAGGAUCAAGAGCUGUUGGAACAUCUCAUGGAAUAGGCAGUGAAUUUAUUACACAUGGGUCAUCUUCCGGUAGAGGAUUGUCUGGGGCUUCUGUUCGAGACAGAACCUCUAUUUCUGGAAUAAUUAAAGGCUCUUCAACUGGAUUGUCUCGUGCUUUAUCUGACGUUGAUGAUCAUUUCACCAUUGGCAGCCGAAUUGGUUCAUCUGGUCUGGCUAGAAAUGCGGAUCUGUCCAGAAAUUCUCAUUUGGAAACUAUUGGUAGUGGCCGUGGAGUGUCUGGUCAUACAGGUGCAGAUAUUCUUGACGCAAUCAGUUCAAGACGAGAUGGGCGUAUUGUACUAGACACUGUUUCUGCCAGACGUAGUGGAUCAGCACGUACUUCAGGUUCAGGGUUCGUUUCUCAGUCAGUGGUAGGAGGAAAAACUGAUUGCAAAAAUAGCUGUUUUAGUGAUGGAGAUUGUCCAACAAACAGAUACUGUGCCACUGUUAAUUGUCACAGGAUUUGUAGGAGAAGACUGUCUAAAGGAUACACAGCAUGAACAGCAAAACACUGAAAUCCAGACUUUACACUCACAGUAUUGGUUUUUAUAAAAUAAAAUUUGGAAUACAGUU
rnacentral:lncRNA from 1 species